UGCAAGUCGAGCGAAUCAAUAGGAGCUUGCUCCUGUUGAUUAGCGGCGGACGGGUGAGUAACACGUGGGCAACCUGCCUGUAAGACUGGGAUAACUUCGGGAAACCGGAGCUAAUACCGGAUAAUCCUUUUCCUCUCAUGAGGGAAAGCUGAAAGUCGGUUUUUAGCUGACACUUACAGAUGGGCCCGCGGCGCAUUAGCUAGUUGGUGAGGUAACGGCUCACCAAGGCGACGAUGCGUAGCCGACCUGAGAGGGUGAUCGGCCACACUGGGACUGAGACACGGCCCAGACUCCUACGGGAGGCAGCAGUAGGGAAUCUUCCGCAAUGGACGAAAGUCUGACGGAGCAACGCCGCGUGAGCGAUGAAGGCCUUCGGGUCGUAAAGCUCUGUUGUUAGGGAAGAACAAGUAUCGGAGUAACUGCCGGUACCUUGACGGUACCUAACCAGAAAGCCACGGCUAACUACGUGCCAGCAGCCGCGGUAAUACGUAGGUGGCAAGCGUUGUCCGGAAUUAUUGGGCGUAAAGCGCGCGCAGGCGGUCCUUUAAGUCUGAUGUGAAAGCCCACGGCUCAACCGUGGAGGGUCAUUGGAAACUGGGGGACUUGAGUGCAGAAGAGGAAAGCGGAAUUCCACGUGUAGCGGUGAAAUGCGUAGAGAUGUG
rnacentral:rRNA from 1 species